AAGGUUUGGUUUUGAUCGGCUUGAGAGCGUGCCUGGCUCCCUGUAUGCCACUCAUGUAGCCCAAUCCAUGGUGUGUUUGGAUGCUGUGGGUGGCGUGCAAGGAGCCAAGCAUGCGUGCCAUGAUCUCUCUUUCUGCC
rnacentral:miRNA from 2 species